rnacentral:rRNA from 1 species
UACGUAGGCAGCGAGCGUUGUUCGGAAUUACUGGGCGUAAAGAGUGUGUAGGCGGUGCUCCCAGUCUGUUGUGAAAUCUCCCGGCUUAACUGGGAGGGUGCAGCGGAAACUAGAGUGCUAGAGGGUGGGAGAGGUAAGCGGAAUUCCUGGUGUAGCGGUGAAAUGCGUAGAUAUCGGGAGGAACACCUGUGGCGAAAGCGGCUCACUGGACCGCAACUGACGCUGAGGCGCGAAAGCUAGGGGAGCAAACAGG